rnacentral:ncRNA from 1 species
CCGGCGUGUCCUUUACUGGGUGCGUCGGGGAACCAGGACUUUUACCUUGAGAAAAUUAGAGUGUUCAAAGCAGGCCUAUGCCCGAAUACAUUAGCAUGGAAUAAUGAAAUAGGACGUGCGGUUCUAUUUUGUUGGUUUCUAGAGUCGCCGUAAUGAUUAAUAGGGACAGUUGGGGGCAUUAGUAUUCAGUUGCUAGAGGUGAAAUUCUUGGAUUUACUGAAGACUAACUAUUGCGAAAGCAUUUGCCAAGGAUGUUUUCAUUAAUCAAGAACGAAGGUUAGGGGAUCGAAAACGAUCAGAUACGCAAUCCUAAGCAGGUAGACUACGGGGGAAGAUCUG